rnacentral:rRNA from 1 species
UGAAAUAGCCAUAUCAUCCUGCAGCCCAAGACUGGUUACUCACUGAAGCUGAGCAAGGCUGAGACUGGUUGGUACCUGGAUAGGAGACCACAUGGCAAAACUAGGUUGCUGGUGGAG